rnacentral:rRNA from 1 species
CUGGCUCAGGAUGAACGCUGGCGGCGUGCCUAACACAUGCAAGUCGAGCGGAGUCAUAAGUUGAUUCUUCGGAUGAUUUUAUGACUUAGCGGCGGAUGGGUGAGUAACACGUGGGUAAUCUGCCCUGCACAGGGGGAUAACAGCUGGAAACGGCUGUUAAUACCGCAUAUGCACACGUUAUCGCAUGAUAGAGUGUGGAAAGAUUUUAUCGGUGCAGGAUGAGCCCGCGUCGGAUUAACUAGUUGGCAGGGUAACGGCCUACCAAGGUGAUGAUCCGUAGCCGGCCUGAGAGGGCGACCGGCCACAUUGGGACUGAGACACGGCCCAAACUCCUACGGGAGGCAGCAGUGGGGAAUAUUGCACAAUGGGCGCAAAGCCUGAUGCAGCGACGCCGCGUGAAGGAAGACGUAUUUCGGUAUGUAAACUUCUAUCAGCGGGGAAGAAGAUGACGGUACCCGACUAAGAAGCCCCGGCUAACUACGUGCCAGCCGCGGC